CAAUAGCGUAUAUUAAAGUUGUUGCAGUUAAAAAGCUCGUAGUUGGAUUUGUGGCGUACGGUGUGUUCCGGGCACUUGUUGUCUGAGUAACCUGCUGUUGCCAUCCUUGGGUGGAACCUGUGUGGCAUUAGGUUGUCGUGCAGGGGAUGCCCAUCAUUUACUGUGAAAAAAUUAGAGUGUUCAAAGCAGGCUUAUGCCGUUGAAUAUAUUAGCAUGGAAUAAUGAGAUAGGACUUUUUUGCUAUUUUGUAGGUUUGCGCAAAGAGGUAAUGAUUAAUAGGGACAGUUGGGGGUAUUCGUAUUCCAUUGUCAGAGGUGAAAUUCUUGGAUUUUUGGAAGACGAACUACUGCGAAAGCAUUUACCAAGGAUGUUUUCAUUAA
rnacentral:rRNA from 1 species